GUUACCUACUGGGGAUUUAAGCGCUACCCCAUAGCCGGUGAUAGACUACAAAUUGAUAUUCUAUUGGCUGCCAACUGGAAAAGUUUGGGAAAAUUUCACCUGGAUCUGAAAAAAAUGAAUGGCCGGCUUUGGGACAGUCAAAUUAUCUGUGAAUUUUCCUGGCCUUCGUCGACAUUCACACUCAAGUGUAUGGAUGAAAACCCGUGUACCCCAGCCGUAACCACAGUCACCUUGGAAGCCAGCAAGUGGUUCACGAUAUCGAUUAACUUUUCCCUUAACAGCAUGAUAAAGUUUUACUACAAACAAAUUUAUCUUGGAGAGAUUCGCAGCAAUUACGCCACUGUGCGGUCGAUACACUUCCAGGGGAUUGAUGACUAUAAAAUGAGGUUUUUUCCAGCUUCGGCACCUCAAGGACCUCCGCGGCGACAAUAGCUUUCUAAAGCUGUAGCAACUGCCAUCUAUAACUGUUUAAAAGCCUGUGUUUUUAUUGUUUCGUUAUUUCAAUGUGUUUUUAGUUUUAUAAGAGUAAAGUAAAACCAUUAACAUUUUACUUUUUUGUGAAAAGCAUAGAAGCUAUUCUAUAAUUUUUUUCGAUGUUAAAAUAAGAUGGAAAUG